GACAGAGGGUGCAAACGUUGUUCGGAAUUACUGGGCGUAAAGCGAGUGUAGGCGGUCUGUAAAGUCAGGUGUGAAAGCCCCGGGCUCAACCUGGGAAUUGCAUUCGAGACUGAAUAGCUAGGGUACGGUAGAGGGAAGUGGAAUUUCCGGUGUAGCGGUGAAAUGCGUAGACAUCGGAAGGAACAUCAGUGGCGAAAGCGACUUCCUGGACCAGUACCGACGUUCAGGCACGAAAGCGUGGGGAGCAAACAGG
rnacentral:rRNA from 1 species